CGGUGGCAAACAUAUUGAGUAUUGAGCUUUGAACAUUAGGCUUUGAGUACUGCGUUUUGAGUAUUGAGUAUUGAGCGUUGAGUAUUUUGCUUCGAGUAUUGAGCAUUGAGCAUCGGACUUCUCAUGGAAAUGUUUUAAUUAGUUCUGCAGAGCUACGAAGAGUUCUAUCAUCGUCCUGCAACAAACGUGUACUCCUAUUUACGUCCUUCGAAACUGUGUCAAUGCAUUGAUCCUUCCAUUCUUCCCGGCAAAAAGACCAAGCAAGUGACAACGGAAAAUGCUGCGAUUGCCUGGCCGUAUCCCAAACCUAAGACAGCAUUUAUAUCAACAAUAUCCGAUUUUUAUUCUAAGAAGCAUUAAAAGAUAUUUGUCAAUUGUGCAAGAAAUUAUUGGAAUAAUUGUAAGUGAACUCUCACAUACUUUUCUAUAACCUUGAAUAACUUUUCGUACAAAAAUUUUUAAUAAUUCCGGCGAAAACUCGGCCAAAUUUAUAGAAAUAUGGAAAUUAAUUAUAUCGACUACAUUAAUAGAACGUGCAACCAGCGAUAUCCUGGUACAACAUAAUGCGCGUCAAGGACAGAAAUACUUCUUUGUCUAACUUUAUAUAUUUUCAUUAAUUACCCUUAUCCCUUAAGUUAAUACAGUUUUGAAAUUGUAAAAUAAAGAUCAGGGUGCAAGUAAUAUUCCCAUACAAUUUUAGAACGGGAUAUUUGUUUAAUCAGUCACUAGUUAUUAUUGUAGUUGCAGAUUACUGUAUAUCUGCAUGUUUUUUUGCAGAAUCUCUAUAAAGAAGAACUUUUAUAUAUAUUCAUUGAUCUGUAAGAAACGAAUGAAACUAAAAUAAAUAAUUAAUCAGCUAUUAACAAUUAUUGUAACAAGUGGCAUGACUACUGCGAUACAUAUGUCCGAUUUCUUAUCAAUAUUAAUAUUAAUGCUAAACUUUAUUACGUAAAAUUAAUUACGUAUAACGUGAAUUCUGUGAAAAUGCAUGGCCUCACUCUUAUGCAACGACUCCAUGUGAUAAUUGUUAAUGACUAUUUGAACAAAAAUUCUGCUAUAAAAUUCUGUGUAAGAAUUCGUUGCGUUGAGAUCUUUAUUACACGACUUUAUUAUACAAUUCCAAAAGUGGACGAACUCUUUCCUGAAAGAAAAGCAAUUAACGAAUAUUCAAUAAAUUAGAUGCAGAAUUUCCUUAUAUCCGCCCCUGUUGCACAAUAAUGCGCUUCUUGUCUUACACACGGUAUAAGCCUGUCCUUGUCGAAUAGUAGCGUGCUCUUUAGCUAACACCUCCUUAGAUAUCACCUUGCACAUUCCAUUUACCUACAUACAUAUAUUCUUGUUGCUUUUACGCCAUUGAAACCAACUCCAACAGAUGACAGCACCGAAGUGACCAUAGAGAAAGAGGACAGUAUUGUGCGACAAGGACAGACAUACAGUGGCGGUCACAAGAAAGUUUUAAAUCGAGGCACUUUGAAUUGUGUACACUGUGUAACUUUUAUGCUAACAAUUUUUUACCAUAUUGAUAACAGUCACCUAUUCUAUCGUAUACGUUACGGUAGAACCUCGAUUAUUCAAAGCAAUGCGGAUUGGAUCGAAUAAACAGAAACUCUGGUAAUACGGAAAAGUCUAUCAAUAUUCGUAAAUCACAUAAUAAAAUCAGAAAAAACAUCUUGAUAAUGCAAUGUUGCAGAUGUGCAUAGAUUUAAUUAAUUAUUUAAUCGGUUAAAAGUUUGAUAAGAUGCUUACACAAUACCAAACUAUUUACGCAUUCGUACUCUUCGUGUUAAAAUUUCGAAAAGAAAAAAGUUAUGGUAAAAUUCAAAGCACCUCGGAUAAUACGGAACUUCGGUUAAAUGGGCCUCGAAUAAUCGAGACACCACUGCAUAUUUAUUCAUUGCUCUUAUUAAAUAUAAUUCCAUUUUGUAAAAUUAUUGUGUAUUUUUAUAUUUCUUACGGUAUAAAUUUCUUUCCCGCCACUGUAUGUACUCACGUCAGACAAAAAGAGCGAUAAUGUGUAGUAAGGAUAGCAAUAAUGCUUAGUUCGGUUUUUCACCACUACGUGGCGAUAGUGUUUCAAUGUCCUAUCCAUAAAUCGAACAAAUUUUCGUUAGUGAAAAAGAUUAAUUAAAAGCAUUAGCAUGCGAACUUCUGCAAUUGUAUCUGGCUAAUUGGACCCUCAACUUUCCUUUUUAUGUAAUUUGAACCUUGAUAUACAUUUGUAAGAAAGUAUAUAUUUUUUACGCAAAUAUUUUGAGACGAUACAAUGAACUUGCUCAUUAUUUACGUUAUAUCAAAUUGAUUUAUACACUUUUUCGGAUGCAAUACAACGCACAGUUUAAGUUUCUAUAAUUACGUAGAGUUGAACUACACAAAUUUUUAUACGUAUAGUACGUGGACGGAACAAAUGUUUAUAUUAUCCGGUACCAUGGCCCAGGUUUUCGCGCAUGAUUUGCUGGUAAAUUGACCGAGGAUUCCUUCCAAAAAGUAAAAAGGCAGUGAAAGGAAAUCUCCAUACAUUUCCUAGACCAACGGAAGCAGCGAUGCAAGCCAUUAGAAAUUCUAGACCACCUCCCCAUUCUAGUCUCUGAGAAAAAGAAGAAGUGAUGUGCAAAUUGGUUUUACCAUCAUCCAGUGGCGUAAUAUUGGGAUAAGUAGUUAGCAAGUAUAUGUUAAUCAGAAUAAUGGUAGAAAGAGACCUCGAAUGAAAAUCUCAAUAAUUAUAGAUAAAUACUAUUAAAAAUAUCCUGCUUCGCGAAAGGUUCAAUAUUUUAUAUUAGACUGUAAAUGUUUAUUUAUUUGUAAUAAUUGAAAUUAAUACAGGAUUUAAUUUCAGAGUGGGUCGCUGUAAAAAAGUUUAGAUUAGAAAAUUCGAAGAGCCAAAAAUUUAUAAGUUCAGAAAUUUGGAAAUUCUAUAGUUAAUAUAGCUUUAAUGUGAAAGUUUCAAAACUCGAAAAUUCCAAACUACAGAAGUUUAAAAAUUCCAAAAAUCAGAACUUCCGAAAUCCUACCGUUCAACAAUUCGAAAAUUUUGGAUCCCAGAAAGUUACAAGAUUCGAUAGUUUCAAAAUUCAGAGAUUUAAAAACUUCAAGAUGCAAAAGAAAACAAUGACAAAAAACUAUAUUAACCAAGUCCUUGUAAUUUGUUUCACGAACGCAAUGUUAAGAAGCGAAAUCCCAUC